CGGCGCCAGCCGUCGCGGUCGUCCNCUUCGGCCGCCAUUCAACGCUCAGCUCAGAACUGGCACGGACUAGGGGAAUCCGACUGUCUAAUUAAAACAAAGCAUUGCGAUGGCCCUCGCGGGGUGUUGACGGCAAUGUGAUUUCUGCCCAAGUGCUCUGAAUGUCAACGUGAAGAAAUUCAAGCAAGCGCGGGUAAACGGCGGGAGUAACUAUGACUGGUGGGAGUAACUAUGACUCUCUUAAGGUGGCCUCCUCAUCUCUUGAUACCCACUCCGGUGAAUUCUUUAGGCUGGGGAUUAAGGUCUCCUGUGCUCACUCUCGGUUUCCAAAUGACACGUCAUUCUUGUGACGCAUAACGGCAAUUCCCAUCA
rnacentral:ncRNA from 1 species